ACAGUCUAUAGAUUUUCUACCAUCAUAUUCGGAGUUUCUAUAUUAAUAUUAGAACCGGUUCUACCUAACUUCUACCUGAUGGUAGAAACUCUAUAGAAUGUAGCGUAUAUGACUUAUAUACAGAAGUUACGCGCAAGAAAGUAUAAGGUCAGCAGGACCCCAAACAAGGACAACAUAGGAAACCAAUGUCAAAAAAUUAAAUAAAUAUUAAAUGAUUGACGCCGAUACAUCAAUGAAAUUCUUGCUCCACAAAUUCUAGCUUUCAUG